AGUGAACGCUGGCGGUAGGCCUAACACAUGCAAGUCGAACGGCAGCACUGUAAGAGCUUGCUCUUACGGGUGGCGAGUGGCGGACGGGUGAGGAAUACAUCGGAAUCUACUUUUUCGUGGGGGAUAACGUAGGGAAACUUACGCUAAUACCGCAUACGACCUACGGGUGAAAGCAGGGGAUCUUCGGACCUUGCGCGAUUGAAUGAGCCGAUGUCGGAUUAGCUAGUUGGCGGGGUAAAGGCCCACCAAGGCGACGAUCCGUAGCUGGUCUGAGAGGAUGAUCAGCCACACUGGAACUGAGACACGGUCCAGACGCCUACGGGAGGCAGCAGUGGGGAAUAUUGGACAAUGGGCGCAAGCCUGAUCCAGCCAUACCGCGUGGGUGAAGAAGGCCUUCGGGUUGUAAAGCCCUUUUGUUGGGAAAGAAAAGCAGCAGGUUAAUACCCCGCUGUUCUGACGGUACCCAAAGAAUAAGCACCGGCUAACUUCGUG
rnacentral:rRNA from 1 species